GUAGGCAUAAGUAACGAUAAACGGGGCGACGAAACCCCUCACCGAAGACUAAGGUUCCUCAGCCAUGCUAAUCAGCUGAGGGUUAGUCGGGACCUAACGCGCACCCGAGAGGGGAAGUGGAUGGACAAUGGGUUAAUAUUCCCAUACUUGCUCACACUAAAAAGGGGACGGUUGGAUGUAGCUAUUGAAGACUGACGGAAUAGUUAAGACCUAGCCUACGGGCGAAGUUGAUAUAGUGUAAUCUGACCCAAGAAAAGCCGAAGUGAAGCAACCCGUACCCUAAACCGACACAGGUAGUCGAGGAGAGAAUCCUAAGGUGCUCGAGUGAGUCGUGGCUAAGGAAUUAGGCAAAAUAGUCUCGUAACUUCGGAAGAAGGGACGCCUCCCUAAAGGGAGGCCUCAGUAAAGAGGCCCAGGCGACUGUUUAUCAAAAACACAGGACUCUGCUAAAUCGAAAGAUGCUGUAUAGGGUCUGACACCUGCCCGGUGCUGGAAGGUUAAGGAAGGUGCUUAGCGUAAGCGAAGGCAUUGACUGAAGCCCCAGUAAACGGCGGC
rnacentral:rRNA from 1 species